GAUCACUGUUGAAUUCUUAAAAGGAUAUUACUUUGUGAGCUGGUGACCGAGUGAAAAGUGACUGUGCUCUUUACGGGCCGUUUCUAAUUGUAAAAGUGGCUUCUUUCUGGGUUUGACAAAAGAGACCAGUAUUGAUCCUCAGGAAGAUGCUUGAAGUGUUAAGCUAGUACUGCAACAUGGACAUCAUUGAUAAUCAACUGCAAUCGAGAAGCCCUCACAAUCUUUCUGCCGUUGGCAUGGAUUGGGAGGCUUCAUUGAAUUGAUUCAUUAUGCAUAUUACACUUGUUGUCUCGUUGACAUCAAUAACGGAAUGCUAUUUUCCUAUGAAGUUAUGCAUUUGCCAGGCCUUGCUCUUAUUUAACUUUUUCACGGAACUGUAUUGUUAGUUUGGGGCUUGGAAUUGCUAUAGAAUUAUCUUGCAUUACUGGUGGAAAGAAAAAGGUAAUAGCCUAGGUCCAAAUCAUGGACACUCUGCCAUUUGGCUUAAACAAAGCAACUGUAAGGUUGGAAACCAACAAAAGUAAAGGGAAUAGCGC
rnacentral:misc_RNA from 1 species